UCACUGAUGGUUCCGUGGUUAAGACACUGCACUUCCAAGGCAGGAGACACAGGUUCAAUCCCUGAUUGGGGAA
rnacentral:tRNA from 1 species